rnacentral:ncRNA from 1 species
GGGGAUAUGGCGAAAUCGGUAGACGCUACGGACUUAAUUGAAUUGAGCCUUGGUAUGGAAACCCACUAAGUGAUAACUUUCAAAUUCAGAGAAACCCUGGAAUUAAUAAAAAGGGGCAAUCCUGAGCCAAAUCCCGUUUUCCGAAACCAAAGGUUCAGAAAGUGAAAAAAGGAUAGGUGCAGAGACUCAACGGAAGCUGUUCUAACAAAUGGAGUUGGCUGCGUUAGUAGAGAAAUCUUUCUAUCUAAAAUUCCGAAAGGAUAAAGUGAAGGAUAAACGUAUAUAUACGUAUUGAAUACUAUAUCAAAUGAUUAAUGACGACUCGACUGAAUCUGUAUUUUUUAUAUAAAAACGGAAGAAUUGGUGUGAAUAGAUUCCACAUUGAAGAAAGAAUCGAAUAUUCAUUGAUCAAAUGAUUCACUCCAUAGUCUGAUAGAUCUUUUCAAGAAUUGAUUAAUCGGACGAGAAUAAAGAUAGAGUCCCGUUCUACAUGUCAAUGUCGGCAACAAUGAAAUUUAUAGUAAGAGGAAAAUCCGUCGACUUUAAAAAUCGUGAGGGUUCAAGUCCCUCUAUCCCCAA